GUAUGGUGGCAGGUGCUUGUAAUCCCAGCUACUUGGGAGGCUGAGGCAGGAUAAUCACUUGAACCCAGGAGGCAGAGGUUGCAGUGAGUUGAGAUCACGCCACUGCACUCCAACCUGGGUGACAGAGUAAGACUCCAUCUAAAAAAAAGAAUUAAUAAAUUAGGGGGUGAUCUUAAUGUUCUGUCCCUACUUUAGUGACUGACAUG
rnacentral:lncRNA from 1 species